rnacentral:rRNA from 1 species
AACGUAGGAGGCGAGCGUUAUCCGGAUUUACUGGGCGUAAAGCGCACGCAGGCGGAGUGGCAAGUUGGACGUGAAAGCUCCUGGCUUAACUGGGAGAGGCCGUUCGAGACUACCAGUCUUGAGGUAGGGAGAGGGGUGUGGAAUUCCCGGUGUAGUGGUGGAAUGCGUAGAUAUCGGGAGGAACACCAGUGGCGAAGGCGGCACCCUGGCCCUCACCUGACGCUGAGGUGCGAAAGCGUGGGUAG